AUGAUAGAGAGGUGGACCAGGAGGGGAGAUUUGAGUGAGUUGGGGGUGUCAAAAUUCUACGUGGUGGCGAUGCAGACUCCCGCAAAGCCUAAACGGACAUCCAAACGCGUCAGCGAACCGACAAGGUAUCGUGUUGGGUGGCAAAAUGAUCGUUUUGGACGCUUGCAGAAAGCCAAAAUGCUUAACCUUUUUGCCUCAAAAUUUACACGUAUUAUUUGCUGUACCCUCGUCCUCGACCUGCCUUACUUCCACCGCGCCGCCUCCAUCGUGCUGGACAUUUGUUCCAUCCUCAGCGUGCCUGCCGGCGUCGAGUUCCCCGCGCUCGAGACGCUGUCUUUGUCGUGCUUCCUUCCCGACCUUGACUCCUUCAUCCCCUGCUGCCCGCGCUUGCGCACGCUCCGGCUUGGCAGCCUCCUUUUGGGCGUCCUGUGCCUCAACUCUGUGUCGCUGCAGGAGCUUGUGGUGGAUCGCGAGGCAGGAUUGACAGACCAUAUCAGCAUCGUUGCCCCCGUGCUCAGGCAAUUGACCAUGUCCUUCAUAUCCUCGAACCCCAGCAUCUCCGUCUCGGCACCAAUGCUGGAGAAGGUCUCAUGGCGCUGCUGCUAUAACGACGGCUCUAUUGUGUUUGGUUUUUGGCUACUGGAGGAGAGAUCGUUGAUUUUUCAUGGUGAAGCGGAUACCAUUACUCAGGAUAUAGAAAAGCAUAUGAUUGCUGAGUUUUCUAUUUUGGAACUACAUCUCCGAACAAGUGGACAUAUGUUUGGAGCACUCGCGUUUUAUCUCCUAGGGAGUAAUCGAAUUUGUACUACUAUGCAGAAGCUUAAGGUCAUCUUACAGAGAUCAGCGGUGAAAGAAAGAUGCUCACCAGAUUGUCCAUGUGAGUCCUCGGGCUGGAGAGUCCAAACUAUCUCCUUGACUGCUCUCGAAGAAGUGGAGAUCAACGGCUUUGAAGGAGACAAUCAUGAGCUUGAUUUCUUGAAACUGGUACUCAGAUGUGCGCCAAUGCUUAAAAGAAUGAUUGUGAAGCUGUCAGAUAAGGCCUCAGCAAGUAGCUAUAGACGCACAAAACUAUACAACAUCUUCAGGGCCAAUUAA
rnacentral:rRNA from 1 species